rnacentral:rRNA from 1 species
CCCUUAGAUGUUCUGGGCCGCACGCGCGCUACACUGUUCGACGCAGCGAGUCUUAACCUUGACCGAAAGGUUUGGGUAAUCUUCAGCAAAGUCGAACGUGAUGGGGAUCGAUCAUUGCAAUUAUUGAUCGUGAACGAGGAAUUCCUAGUAAGUGCAAGUCAUCAGCUUGCGCUGAUUACGUCCCUGCCCUUUGUACACACCGCCCGUCGCUACUACCGAUUGAAUGGUUUAGUGAGAUCUCUGGAUUGACGCUGGCUAGGGGGCGACUCUUGGCCAGACUGUUGAGAAACUGCUCAAACUUGAUCAUUUAGAGGAAGUAAAAGUCGUAACA